GCCCCUGUUGGUCCUAGUUCUCUCUGGCCACCAGAACUCAUCUGCUUCCUCCUCCCACGAGAAACUGGGGAGAGAUGGAGACAGCACCCAAAGCCUGCUCUUCUUUAAGCUGUUUCCUCUCAACUGGGCUUUCCAUCGUGCCAUUGCUGGGCUACCUUGGCUUGGCCAAGCCCCAUCUCCUAUUGUCGCAGUGUGAAUACCAGAAGAAGCAAACAGCCUGCAGAUGGGACACUUAUUCACCCCUGAUGCAAGUGUGACUGGAGCUAUUGAAUGACUGAUGAGAUCCGUUGUAACAAUCAUUCUGGCAAAGGUGUGGAGAUGGCUCAGAGGAUUGAGCUGGGAGCAGGGUGGCCUCAGCCACAUGUGCUACCAUGGCUCUGAGCAGGCAGACUGAGCUUGUUGAGGGAGGGACUGUGUCUGAUUCAGUUACAAUUACCAGAUGAGAAUGGCCAAUUAUGAGAGAAUUCAGAGUACAAUCAAGUCCAAUAAAUGCCAUAGUGAUGCUGAGGACAA
ensembl:lncRNA LINC02794 long intergenic non-protein coding RNA 2794